rnacentral:lncRNA from 1 species
CCUUCCUUCCUUCCUCCCUUCCUUCCUUCCUUCCUUUUCCUUCCUUCCUCUUCCUUCCUUCCUUCCUUCCUUCCGUCCGUCCUUCCUUCCUUCCUUCCUUCCUUCCUCCCUUCCUUCCUUCCUUCCUUUUCCUUCCUUCCUCUUCCUUCCUUCCUUCCUUCCUUCCGUCCGUCCUUCCUUCCUUCCUUCCUUCCUUCCUCCCUUCCUUCCUUCCUUCCUUUUCCUUCCUUCCUCUUCCUUCCUUCCUUCCUUCCUUCCGUCCGUCCUUCCUUCCUUCCUUCCUUCCUUCCUCCCUUCCUUCCUUCCUUCCUUUUCCUUCCUUCCUCUUCCUUCCUUCCUUCCUUCCUUCCGUCCGUCCUUCCUUCCUUCCUUCCUUCCUUCCUCCCUUCCUUCCUUCCUUCCUUUUCCUUCCUUCCUCUUCCUUCCUUCCUUCCUUCCUUCCGUCCGUCCUUCCUUCCUUCCUUCCUUCCUUCCUCCCUUCCUUCCUUCCUUCCUUUUCCUUCCUUCCUCUUCCUUCCUUCCUUCCUUCCUUCCGUCCGUCCUUCCUUCCUUCCUUCCUUCCUUCCUCCCUUCCUUCCUUCCUUCCUUUUCCUUCCUUCCUCUUCCUUCCUUCCUUCCUUCCUUCCGUCCGUCCUUCCUUCCUUCCUUCCUUCCUUCCUCCCUUCCUUCCUUCCUUCCUUUUCCUUCCUUCCUCUUCCUUCCUUCCUUCCUUCCUUCCGUCCGUCCUUCCUUCCUUCCUUCCUUCCUUCCUCCCUUCCUUCCUUCCUUCCUUUUCCUUCCUUCCUCUUCCUUCCUUCCUUCCUUCCUUCCUUCCCUCCGCUUUCCCCGCUGGCUGCUUUCAUCCCAGCCCCAGCCUCGGCUUCUGCACCUUCCUUCCCCCACGGUUUUCUCCUCUCGCUGCUGCUGCUGCUGCUGCUCCUGGUGGCCUCCCUCCCAGAUGGACACCCAGCCUUGCAGCUUUGUUGCUGUGGAAAUGGAUUGGAGAGAAUUAGAAGACAGUGCAAGGGACAAGAGGGGAGGAGGCCAUGACGGAUGCUCAGGGUCAGGGCUGUGGAAGAGAGGGGCAGGGAGGCAGAGUUUGAGAAAGGCGCUCCCAAGUCCCAGAGCCCCUCAGCCAGGAGG